UACGUAGGUGGCAAGCGUUGUCCGGAUUUACUGGGCGUACAGGGCGUGCAGGCGGUUUGUUAAGUGCAGGGUGAAAGCUCCCGGCUCAACUGGGAGAGGUCCUUGCAUACUGGCGAACUCGAGGGAGGCAGAGGAAAGUGGAAUUCCCGGUGUAGUGGUGAUAUGCGUAGAUAUCGGGAGGAACACCUGUGGCGAAGGCGGCUUUCUGGGCCUUACCUGACGCUGAGACGCGAAAGCGUGGGGAGCGAACCGG
rnacentral:rRNA from 1 species